rnacentral:rRNA from 1 species
CGUGCCUACGGGGGGCAGCAGUGAGGAAUAUUGGUCAAUGGGCGGAAGCCUGAACCAGCCAAGUCGCGUGAGGGACUAAGGCCCUGCGGGUCGUAAACCUCUUUUGCCGGGGAGCAGUGGUCCGGACGCGUCCGGACCGGGAGAGUACCCGGAGAAAAAGCAUCGGCUAACUCCGUGCCAGCAGCCGCGGUAAUACGGAGGAUGCGAGCGUUAUCCGGAUUUAUUGGGUUUAAAGGGUGCGUAGGUGGUUAAUUAAGUCAGCGGUGAAAGUUUGUGGCUCAACCAUAAAAUUGCCGUUGAAACUG